CACACAGCUCAGUAACACGUGGCUAACCUGCCCUUGGGACAGAGACACCCCCGGGAAACUGGGGCUAAUCCCUGAUAGGCGAAGAACUCUGGAAUGAGUCUUCACCCAAAAGACGCUUAGAUCAUGCUUCUAGACGUUGCCCAAGGAUGGGGCCGCGACCGAUCAGGUUGUUGGUGAGGUAAUGGCUCACCAAGCCUAUAACCGGUGCGGGCCGUGAGAGCGGGAGCCCGGAGAUGGGCACUGAGACAAGGGCCCAGGCCCUACGGGGCGCAGCAGUCGCGAAAACUUUGCAAUAAGCGAAAGCUUGACGGGGCCAUCCCGAGUGCCAUCUGCUGAGGAUGGCUUUUACCCAGUAUAGAUAGCUGGGGGAAUAAGGAGAGGGCAAGUCUGGUGUCAGCCGCCGCGGUAAUACCAGCUCUCCGAGUUGUGGGGACGUUUAUUGAGCCUGAAGCAUCCGUAGCCGGCUGGGCAAGUCCUCUGUUAAAUCCAGCGACUAAUCGUUGGCCUGCGGGGGAUACUGCUCGGCUAGGGGGCGGGAGAGGCCGUCGGUAUUCUUGGGGUAGGGGUGAAAUCCUAUAAUCCCAGGAGGACCACCAGUGGCGAAGGCUGUCGGCUAGAACGCGCCCGACGGUGAGGGAUGAAAGCUGGGGGAGCGAACC
rnacentral:rRNA from 1 species